GACGAACGCUGGCGGCGUGCUUAACACAUGCAAGUCGAACGAAGUGGUGAACGGGGGAGUAACGCGUAAUCAACCUGCCCUUCAGAGGGGGAUAACAGUUGGAAACGACUGCUAAUAACGCAUACUGAAGGAGGGGAUUGCGUCUGAUUAGCUAGUUGGAGGGACAACGGCCCACCAAGGCGAUGAUCAGUAGCCUGUCUAGGAGGUUGUACGGCCACAGGGGGACUGAGACACGUCCCAGACUCCUUCGGGAGGCAGCAGUGGGGAAACUUCCGGAGUGGGCGAAAGUGUGGCUUAACAACGCGACGUAAGUGAUGACGGCCUUCGGGUUGUAGGAGUCGGUUAUUCAGGACGCGAUACCGGGAUAGAAAGCCACGGCUAACUACGUGCAAGCAGCCGCGGUAAUUC
rnacentral:rRNA from 1 species